UGACCUGCCUUGCAGUGAGGAAUACCGGCAGAAAUCGCCGACAAUACCGCAUAGGCUCCCCACUUCGCAAGAAGCGGUGAGCAAAGCUCCGCAAGGGGCGCUGCAAGAGGGGCCCGUGGCCGAUUAGCUGGUUGGUGGGGUAAAGGCCUACCAAGGCGACGAUCGGUUGCUGGUCUGAGAGGACGAUCAGCCGGAUUGGGACUGAGAUACGGCCCAG
rnacentral:rRNA from 1 species